GGUCGUUUAGCUCAGUUGGGAGAGCAUCUGCCUUACAAGCAGAGGGUCGGCGGUUCGAGCCCGUCAACGACCACCA
rnacentral:tRNA from 2 species